CCCUUAGAUGUCCUGGGCCGCACGCGCGCUACACUGAGUGUCUGAGAUACGAGUCUGCCUGGUCCGGCAAGGUCUAGGUAAUCGCUAAAAGACACAUCAUGCUUGGGAUAGAUUAUUGCAAAUAUUAAUCUUGAACGAGGAAUUCCUAGUAAGCGCAAGUCAACAGCUUGCGUUGAUUACGUCCCUGCCCUUUGUACACACCGCCCGUCGCUACUACUGAUUGGAUGUUUAAGCGAGGUUCUCGAACUGCUAGCGACUUAGCUUCGGUGAGGUCGCAGUGUGGGAAGUGAACCUAGCUUUGGUGUCUAGAGGAAGUAAAAGUCGUAACA
rnacentral:rRNA from 1 species